AGAGAAAAGUAGGGAGAGAGAAUUCUUAUUGAUAUGUAAUGAUUUACAAUAGAAUAGAACCCUAUAUUUAUAGGGAGAGAGUGACUUAGCCACCAAGUAGUAAACCCUAUAAUCUCUCUAAAUAUAGACAUUCACCAUAAAUAGAGUUCUAUUUAUAACAUGAUACAAGUAGUUUGUUUUUACACGAGAAACAUGAACACUGACUCUUUAAUAGUGACCAUGACAUGGUGGAGGCAGGAUUUUCACUAACGGGAUUCAAAAAAGGAAAAAGUUAAAAAAGAUUGUUGCUAUUAGGAAUUAAACCAUUGACCUUACAAAGGUUUUGAACCCACUUACCCACUAAGCUAUGCUUUGGGCUAUAUAUGUCCAGGGGAUCCAAAAUAUAAUAUAUAAAGAUAAAAAAUAUAUUUUGUCUAAUCUACACAACGUAAUUUUUCGGCGGAGGACGUUCGGGUGAACCCCUUCUUGUUAGUAUACUGUAUCUAUAAAAUAAUUCUGGAGAAGAAAAAUAACAUAUAAACGGAAAUGUAGAAAAAAUAGAAUUUUAUCCGAGCCCACUGAAUUCACAGUGUUUCCUUAAGAAACUUAAUCCCCUCCUAGUAUAUAAUAUUGUGGAUUAUUUCACUCCAGGAUAGAAUGGAUUACAUAUUGGUGUAGCGGUAUAAAACCCCAUUGUUUCAAUGAACACAAAUGGCGGCAGCAAAUCACACUUACGUUGUUUCUUUUGUAGGAAAAUAAUGCAGAAAGGAAGAGGAGAAU
rnacentral:lncRNA from 1 species